rnacentral:rRNA from 1 species
UACGAAGGGGGCUAGCGUUGCUCGGAAUCACUGGGCGUAAAGCGCACGUAGGCGGCUUUCUAAGUCAGGGGUGAAAUCCUGGAGCUCAACUCCAGAACUGCCUUUGAUACUGGAGAGCUUGAGUCCGGAAGAGGUGAGUGGAACUCCGAGUGUAGAGGUGAAAUUCGUAGAUAUUCGGAAGAACACCAGUGGCGAAGGCGGGUCUCUGGACAGUUCCUGACACUGAGGCGCGACAGCGUGGGGAGCAAACAGG